rnacentral:rRNA from 1 species
UACGUAGGGUGCAAGCGUUAAUCGGAAUUACUGGGCGUAAAGCGUGCGUAGGCGGCUAUGCAAGACAGAUGUGAAAUCCCUGGGCUUAACCUAGGAACUGCAUUUGUGACUGCAUUGCUAGAGUGUGGUAGAGGGAGAUGGAAUUCCGCAUGUAGCAGUGAAAUGCGUAGAUAUGCGGAGGAACACCAAUGGCGAAGGCAAUCUCCUGGACCUGCACUGACGCUCAUGCACGAAAGCGUGGGGAGCAAACAGG